CCUACGGGAGGCAGCAGUGAGGAAUAUUGGACAAUGGGCGCAAGCCUGAUCCAGCCAUGCCGCGUGCAGGAUGACGGUCCUAUGGAUUGUAAACUGCUUUUAUACGAGAAGAAACACUCCGACGUGUCGGAGCUUGACGGUAUCGUAAGAAUAAGGAUCGGCUAACUCCGUGCCAGCAGCCGCGGUAAUACGGAGGAUCCAAGCGUUAUCCGGAAUCAUUGGGUUUAAAGGGUCCGUAGGCGGUUUAAUAAGUCAGUGGUGAAAGCCCAUCGCUCAACGGUGGAACGGCCAUUGAUACUGUUAAACUUGAAUUAUUAGGAAGUAACUAGAAUAUGUAGUGUAGCGGUGAAAUGCUUAGAGAUUACAUGGAAUACCAAUUGCGAAGGCAGGUUACUACUAAUUGAUUGACGCUGAUGGACGAAAGCGUGGGUAGCGAACAGGAUUAGAUACCCUGGUAGUCCACGCCGUAAACGAUGGAUACUAGCUGUUGGGAGCAAUCUCAGUGGCUAAGCGAAAGUGAUAAGUAUCCCACCUGGGGAGUAACGUUCGCAAAGAAUGAAACCUUANAAGUUGAUUGACGGNUUGAGAGNGCGAGACGACGACGAGGAGGAGG
rnacentral:rRNA from 1 species